UUCGUGUUGAGCGAUGCAACGGUGUUCGA
rnacentral:sRNA from 1 species